UUGAAUUUUUGAAGUAACGAUUUAGUGUACUGAUAGUAAAUCAGUUAUUUGAAUAGGAGUUAACGGCUUUAUUAUUAAUUUUCUAUCCGUUGAUAGUUAGAUUGAAAUAUAUUGAAUAAAGGUUGUUUGUUGCUUAUUAUAUACUGUUGAAAUUGUAAACAGUUUGCGGUGAGGUGCACUUCACUAACUGGCCAUUUAUUUUAACAACUAUAAUACUUGUGUAUCCCUUCAGGAUUUGUAACUGGAAUUUAUUAUCACUUUAUUCAACCUGCUAUUUUAUACCAGCCAGUUAUUACAACCACUGUAUUUGUAUAUUCCUUCUGGAUCUGUGGUUUAGGUCAAUCUUCUUGUUUACUUGGUUAUUUGUCUUGUUUAUUAUCUGGUAUAUUUGGAGUUUGUUGAACUCCGUUUACGUUUAGUUUUGGUAUUGAAGCUUUAGGUUUAGCCUAAGCCAAGUGUGGCUGAUAUAAAUAUCCUGUUUUCAGGAUUAGUUUAGGCAUUAUAGGUUGUAGGAAGCCCUUCGGGCAUUUGUUGUUAUAAUUUAUAGGAAGCCCUUCUGGCAUUUAUUUAGUGUUAGGUUAAGUUUUUGGGAAGCUCUUCUAGCUUUUGGGUAACUAAGAGAUUUCUUUGUCAUUAUUUUUUUUUUUUAUUAUCAACCACUGCAUUAAUUUUAAUUUUAUUAAACGUUUGACUUGA